rfam:Streptomyces autolyticus strain CGMCC0516, complete genome.
CUUGAUGGACCCCAGCCACAGGGGCUGGUCGUCGGUGUGUUCACGCCCGUACGUGGCCAGCAGUGCCUGCGCCUC